rnacentral:rRNA from 1 species
GACGAACGCUGGCGGCGUGCCUAAUACAUGCAAGUUGAGCGCUGAAGGUUGGUACUUGUACCAACUGGAUGAGCAGCGAACGGGUGAGUAACGCGUGGGGAAUCUGCCUUUGAGCGGGGGACAACAUUUGGAAACGAAUGCUAAUACCGCAUAAAAACUUUAAACACAAGUUUUAAGUUUGAAAGAUGCAAUUGCAUCACUCAAAGAUGAUCCCGCGUUGUAUUAGCUAGUUGGUGAGGGAAAGGCUCACCAAGGCGAAGAUACAUAGCCGACCUGAGAGGGGGGUCGGCCCACUUGGGAAUGGGAAACGGCCCAAGCUCCUACGGGGGGGAGCAGGAGGGAAACUUCGGCAAAUGAGGGAAGGCUGACCGAGGAACGGCGGGGGGGGUGAGAAAGGUUUCGGAUCGGAAAACUCUGUUGGUAGGGAAGAAAGUUGGUGAGAGUGAAAAGCUCAUCAAGUGACGGUAACUACCCAGAAAGGGACGGCUAACUACGUG